rnacentral:rRNA from 1 species
CAUCCCAAGGCCGCCAAAGGGAGCAAUCCCGGCCACGGAUGGGCAUGCGGCGCAUUAGCUAGUCGGCGGGGUAAUGGCCCACCGAGGCGACGAUGCGUAGGGGUUCUGAGAGGAAGGCCCCCCACACUGGUACUGAGACACGGACCAGACUCCUACGGGAGGCAGCAGUGAGGAAUAUUGGUCAAUGGGCGCGAGCCUGAACCAGCCAAGUCGCGUGAGGGAGGACGGCCCUACGGGUUGUAAACCUCUUUUGCCGGGGAGCAACGGGCGCCACGUGUGGCGCCACUGAGAGUACCCGGAGAAAAAGCAUCGGCUAACUCCGUGCCAGCAGCCGCGGUAAUACGGAGGAUGCGAGCGUUAUCCGGAUUUAUUGGGUUUAAAGGGUGCGUAGGCGGAUCGUUAAGUCAGUGGUCAAAUUGAGGGGCCCAACCCCUUCCCGCCAUUGAAACUGGCGAUCUUGAGUGGAAGAGAAGUAUGCGGAAUGCGUGGUGUAGCGGUGAAAUGCAUAGAUAUCACGCAGAACCCCGAUUGCGAAGGCAGCAUGCCGGCUUCCUACUGACGCUGAAGCACGAAAGCGUGGGGAUCGAACAGGAUUAGAUACCCUGGUAGUCCACGCGGUAAACGAUGA